UCUUCUUCGAAACGUUUGCAA
rnacentral:piRNA from 1 species